CAAUAUUCUCCAUUGUGUCCUGAUUUGGUCUUCAUGGUUACCCUUACAAAAACACUGACUUUGGUUCUCAAUACAGUAAGUGCUUUUUGUUGGGGUAGUUUUGCUGAUCUCUGCAACA
ensembl:miRNA